UUUGUUUCCGCUUUGCAGCCUAUUCUCUGUCUAGCAGAACUAUUUCUUUGUCUGCCUCUCUCCUCAUCCACUAACUCAGUCUCCAACUGAGUCAUUUAUUUACUUUGAAACUAACUUACUACAGGUACCUUUGCCGACUCUACUUUUUUUUUUACACGUCGUAAAUAGGAUUCCUUGAAAUUCAUCAACACCAUCAUGGACAAACUGAACGCAGGUUGCCUCCAGAUCCGAGGUGAAGAGAACAGUUACUGGAACAUGUGAGAAAUAUAAGACUAUAAACUAAUCGCCUCAUCUAAUUGUGAAAAACUAUCAAAUUCUACAUUCUUUUCAGCUCAUAAAAUCUGGGAAACUGACCAUGCAAUGAUGCCAGAGGAAUUGUACUUGGCACAAUAAUAGUGCAGACAUCCAGCAAGGAAAGUGACGUCAAAAUGGGCUCUGCGUCAAUCUGAAAAAAAUAUUUUAAUUUUUUUAUAUUUUUUUGUGGCCCCCGGUCUUGUAGAGAACAAAAGAGCUUCUUUCAUUCAUCAUUUGGAAAAUGGACUGGCACUCGUGAACACAUUGCUCACCAUCCAGAUCAUUGAGCAAUAACAGGAUAAGGAUUUUCUCCUGGAACCUCAUCUAAGACGUAUGAUCUACAUAAGCCCUUAUCAUGAACCAGGUAAAGUGUCUGGAGCCAGACGUCUGCUAACAUGGUCAGACUCCCUGCCGGAAUCUGGAUGAUCCAGGGCUACAAGCAAGUUUCCCGGAACCUGAGUGUCUCUCCCUGCUGACGUUGACAUGUUGGACUCUCACUGAUUUCUGCUGUGGCUCAUGGGAUUCCUGGCAGAGUGAUUUGGAAAUAUACUCUAUAAAAUCACAUUGCCAGGGAUUUCCAAUCAGUCACAGACCUAUCCUCCGCUGCUGGAGUGUCUCAGGGCCUACGUGUACAGACAUCUGGGCCGCAAACAAGGAAUUCCUCUGGUGUUCUGGGUAUAAUUCUACCGUGUGAAAUUGUGCACACAUGAAGGGAACACAUGGGCAGAGCAGGGUCCACGUGGGCAGGACUUAGCUGGCUCUGUGAACAGGUCUUCUGUGUUUAUGUUCACAGUGGCUAAGUUCCACCUCCCUGGAGUCACUAGCUGCUGCAGAGAAGCUGACUGAUCCACGGUGUCCACGCACGAUACUGGCUGUUAUCUCUGUAUCGUGUGUAGCCAAUCAUUAGAUUACACUAUUCUACUAUUUAGGGCUUCAGAGUAAUAUCAGACCUUAUAUCUGAAGAAAACGAAUCAGAACAAUCGCAACUCAUUCGCAACUGUGUACUCAUUCGCAGCCUACAUACAAUAACGGGGAACAUCAACUGCUCGAGUAUGGCUAGGCAGACCGGACGCAGCAGUAGCGACGCAGGCGCCAUUCUUCUCUGUGUACAUGAAGGCAGCUAACAUGAGAUACACCCCCCCCAAAAAAAAACAGCCAUGACACGCCUGUUUUUUCGCUGCCACUCCUCAAAACCACCCCAAAAGGGUCACUUCUUGUCAAUCACUCUGCAAAGAAUUCCUCACUGCGAGCGGAAUCUCAAAGGCACCUUUACAUGCACAGUCUGCCGAUAAUCGCUCAAUUGCAAAAAAACAUUGGCAUAGGCUACAACUCUGAAUCAGUCCCACUGUUUGCUGAAUCUGUCCGCAGUCUUGACAGGUGUCGAGUUUUGAAGAUCCUACUGUACUUUUAUAAUCUUUUUCUAAAUUGUGCGGUUUAUUAAGAUCUGAUUGUUUAAACAUUGUAACAAGUGGACAUGAUGGGGCCGAUUCUGAUUGGACGCAGCUCUCGAUUUUCCACUGACUGCGCACCUAUCUGUGUAUGAGUUACACGAUGUGUCCUCAGUAGCCAAUAGCUCCAUCCUAGUUGCGUCUCGAGCAGGCGGUGGAUAACAUGAAAUAGGUGCUCCUGCAUGGCAACUAUUCCGACUCAUGGAAAAGUUGCGUCUCGUGGGGAGCGCAGCCUGACUUCCGUGCUUGCUUGAGGCUUGCCGACGCAGCUGUGCCGCCUGUCUUUUGCACCCUCUAUGGGUCGGGUGCAAGUACCGUUACUAAUAAUGACAGCUGCGGAUGGAAAAAACACAUACACUCGCAUAGAUAGGGCAGUACGGAUGGUGUAAUGGUUAGCAUUACUGCCUCACAGCACUGAGGUCAUGGGUUCGAUUCCCACCAUGGCACUAACUGUGUGGAGUUUGUAUAUUCUCCCCGUACUUGCGUGGGUUUCCUCCGGGUACUCCAGUUUCCUCCCACAAUCCAAAAAUAUACUGGUAGGUCAAUUGGCUCCCAACAAAAUUAACCCUAGUGUGAAUGUGUCUGUAUGUACAUGUGAUAGGGAAUAUAAGACUGUAAGCUCCACUGGGGCAGGGACUGAUGUGAAUGGGCAAAUAUUCUCUGUACAGCGCUGCGGAAUAUGUGUGCGCCUAUAUAAGUAACUGGUAAUAAAUAAAUAAAAUAAAUAGAUGAGCAGGCAGUCCCAUUAGCAGGACCUAGUAAGUAUGCUGCUGCGGCUGGAUUACUGCAGGAAAGAAGAUUCCCAUUUAAAGGGGUUAAACAAUGCAUAUGGGGGGGUUGUAUUUAAUUACCGUUAUAGAGAAUUCUAUUUACUAAAAUGACACUUUAUUGCAUUAUUAUAUUGUGUACAAAUAGGGUAAUGCCACUUUAGUAUAUACAGUUUAGUAUAUACUACUAAUAGUAACAAUAAAGACGCAUCUCUGCUCCAUCAUAUUGACACUUGUACUGUAUUUGCCCGCCACGAUUGUUAGGCGUAACAACUGUUUUCCAGCCAGCCGUCUCUUGAGAUGUAUCAACAUAUACAGGUAGGUAAGCUUCUUUUUUUGAUGUGUUUGUAUUGGAUGCAGAAAGAUGAGCCCCUAUGUGUCUACGCAUCUACAGAGCAAAUAAGGGCAGCUAGCCUGUUUCAGGUCUGUAAUAAAAUAUAUAUAACGGAGUCAGGAUCAGUGUUACAAGGAUGAACGUUCUUCCGAUGCCACUCCGUUCUGCAUUUAGGUCUAUGUCACGCUCAGAAUAAAGAGAUUUCUAUAUGA